rnacentral:rRNA from 1 species
UAUGUGAUCGUCUCUCGCAUAUCAAUAAGCGGAGGAAAAGAAACUAACAAGGAUUCCCCUAGUAACGGCGAGUGAAGCGGGAAGAGCUCAAAUUUGAAAUCUUAAAGGGUUUCCCUUUACGAAUUGUAGUUUAAAGAAGUGUUUUCUGUUGAGGUUUUGGUAAAAGUUCUUUGGAAUAGGACAUCAUAGAGGGUGAGAAUCCCGUAUUUGACCUUUACUUUCAACUUUGUGAUACACUUUCAAAGAGUCGGAUUGUUUGGGAAUGCAGUCCAAAAUGGGUGGUAAAUUUCAUCUAAAGCUAAAUAUUGGCGAGAGACCGAUAGCGAACAAGUACCGUGAGGGAAAGAUGAAAAGAACUUUGAAAAGAGAGUUAAACAGUACGUGAAAUUGUCAAAAGGGAAGCGUUUGACACCAGUGCUGUUUUUCUGAAAAUCAAUUAAAGAACUGUUUAUGCUAAGUUGUUUAGACUUUAUCAGCUAUCUGCUUAGUUUUGAGCUUUUCUUUAAUGCACUUUUCAGGUUAACAAGUCAACAUCAAUUUCUUUUGCUGUAAAAAAGCUUGAGGAAGGUGGCUUGAGAUUCGUCUUAAGUGUUUAUAGCCUCUUGCCUAUGCAGUCGGAGAGAUUGAGGUCUGCAGCGUAGAUCCUUCGGGGCUAAAUGCAUUUGUGCUAAGUUAUAGCAUUUUAUAGACAACUUGUUGACUAUGAUUUGUCUUGUAGCUUACUCGCUUAUGUUAUUUUACCUACGCUUAGGAUGUUGAAGAUAUGCGCGACACG